GAUGAAUGCCUUCAAUGCACAUCCAUGCAAAGGCAGCUAAGAGGAAGUAAUGGAGUAAUCCUGCGGUGAUUGAACAGAAUAGCUAAAAGAGCAAACAGAAAUCAAGGUGUUAUCACUUAAUCUUUAUAACCACUGUCAAAACAGAAAAUCAAAAAUGAACUGCAGGCUCUCAAAAUCUAGAGAUCAUCAAGAAGAUAUUUCAUUGUGGGGGAAAAUCCUUUGGAGGGGGCAGGGUGACAUGAAAUUGUUGCCAUCUCUGCCUGCCCGACAGCUCUGGAUUGGGCAACAAGUAUUCAGAAACUGAAUUAAAUUGGACAGGGAUGAUGUUGAACCAGGAAAAUGUGUUGAAAAAAACAUACCGAAGGUGCAUUGGACUCUUACCUUCACAAGAAGACCCAUCAUUAGUUACAAAAGUUGUAUUGCCAUUACUAGAUCUGAAUCCAGGGGCACACAUGCAGAAGUAACUUCCCACUGUAUUUGUACAGUUAGCAUUUUCUCCACAAAGUUGUGUAGCAUUUGCACAUUCAUUGUCAUCUGUAAAAAAAUCAGCAUUGGAUAAUUUGCACUUCCUCUGUUUAAUUACACAAGUCUUCUAAAUAAAGUAUUUCCUUUGCACAUUCCAAGGUCUGUUAUAGUAGCAAAGAUACACACACAUGCCUGUAUCUACGGCUGCUAAAAUGAUGGAUGGUACUAAAGUGAUGUAUGAAGGUCACUUCAUGUAAAACCAAUGAAUGUGAUUCAUAUUUACCCAGAGCAGCAUCCAUUUUUUGGGGGAGCUCAUGGCAAAUACUCAUUCCAUAUAUAUAGUUGCUCCACAGUCAGUAAUAAAGAUUGCAGGCUCAUAAGGGCUAAUAUUUUUACUUGAUUUUUUUCAUGCUCAAA